GGUCCGGUGGCGCAGUGGUUAGCGUGGUAACCUCUCACCCCAGUAUGGCCUGGGUUCAAUCCCAGACGGACCC
rnacentral:tRNA from 1 species